rnacentral:ncRNA from 1 species
GUGCCCGCAAGGGUGAAAAGGGAAUUCGGUGCAAGUCCGAAGCGAACCCGUCACUGUAACAGGGAGCGAAGCGCAACUAGCCAUUGGGAAACCGAGAAGGCGCGCCCAGCGAUGACCUGAAGCCAGGAGACCUGCUCACAU